GACGGAGGGUGCUAGCGUUGUUCGGAAUCACUGGGCGUAAAGGGCGCGUAGGCGGCCGCCCGCGUCGGACGUGAAAGCCCGGGGCUCAACCCCGGAACGGCGUCCGAUACGGGGCGGCUCGAGGCCGGGAGAGGGGGGUCGAAUACCCAGUGUAGAGGUGAAAUUCGUAGAUAUUGGGUGGAACACCGGUGGCGAAAGCGGCCCCCUGGCCCGGUCCUGACGCUGAGGCGCGAAAGCGUGGGGAGCAAACAGG
rnacentral:rRNA from 1 species